rnacentral:rRNA from 1 species
GGGAAGCCCGCUUCAAGAUGAGAUCUCCACGCCGUCAAGGGCGAGAGGCCCCCAGCAGACCACUGGGUUGAUAGGCCGGACGUGGAAACGAGGACUGAAAGCAUCUAAGCGGGAAGCCCGCUUCAAGAUGAGAUCUCCACGCCGUCAAGGGCGAGAGGCCCCCAGCAGACCACUGGGUUGAUAGGCCGGACGUGGAAACGAGGACUGAA